rnacentral:rRNA from 1 species
UGCAGUCGAACGGUAACAGGAAGCAAGCUUGCUGCUUCGCUGACGAGUGGCGGACGGGUGAGUAAUGUCUGGGAAACUGCCUGAUGGAGGGGGAUAACUACUGGAAACGGUAGCUAAUACCGCAUAACGUCGCAAGACCAAAGAGGGGGACCUUCGGGCCUCUUGCCAUCGGAUGUGCCCAGAUGGGAUUAGCUAGUAGGUGGGGUAACGGCUCACCUAGGCGACGAUCCCUAGCUGGUCUGAGAGGAUGACCAGCCACACUGGAACUGAGACACGGUCCAGACUCCUACGGGAGGCAGCAGUGGGGAAUAUUGCACAAUGGGCGCAAGCCUGAUGCAGCCAUGCCGCGUGUAUGAAGAAGGCCUUCGGGUUGUAAAGUACUUUCAGCGGGGAGGAAGGGAGUAAAGUUAAUACCUUUGCUCAUUGACGUUACCCGCAGAAGAAGCACCGGCUAACUCCGUGCCAGCAGCCGCGGUAAUACGGAGGGUGCAAGCGUUAAUCGGAAUUACUGGGCGUAAAGCGCACGCAGGCGGUUUGUUAAG